CUUUUACAGCCAACUUACUGUUUUUGUCCUGUUUUAGACAGAGGGAAGCAGUGGCACGAAGACUGUGUAUUAAUGAAUAUAAGAUCAGUUUGCAGCCAUAGGCUACCUUAGUCUUUUUCCAGUGAUGACCUCAUAGCAGAAGGCCUUCUGAAAUCUGCAAAUUUGUGUUUAACAUGUCCGAAUUUCAACUCCAACUCUCAAAGUUAUUCUAUUAGUUUCAGCUGGGACUGAAUUGUUCUCUUCAGAGUGUCUGCAAUAAAUAAUGAUGUGGGACAGCUUGUCACUAUUAUGUGGAAGUACAGAUGAACAAGAUGCAUCACAUCAUAUAGAAGUCUUUUUUUGAAAAUCUGAUUCUUACUGAAGAGAGAGAUUGUGUGACACACGCCACCUUUGAUAGAAUUCAGUGGGAGAGGAGACUCUUAUGUGAAUGCUCUGAAAUUUCUUUCCCUAUAACAAGAACAAGUUUUCAACAUUUUUCCCUUUCCAACGUCAUUACAAUGUUAUCUACAGUCCUCCAAGGUCAGCUGCCUAUUCAAAGUCGUCUUCAGUGCGUUGGCUCAGAAGCAUAUGAACUUUGUCAAGGGUGGAGAGAGAUGGAAAGAAGGAAAGAUUUUGGCAGAAUUGAUUCUUCAAAAUUUCCCCUUGUGCUAAUUAGAGAACAUGAUGGAGAUGGAAUGCCAUGACUGAAUGGUUUUGUUUAGCUCUAAAAAUUCAAUUAAAAUAAAUAUUAAUUUCUAAA
rnacentral:lncRNA from 1 species